rnacentral:rRNA from 1 species
UGAGGAAUAUUGCACAAUGGAGGAAACUCUGAUGCAGCAACGCCGCGUGGAGGAUGACGCAUUUCGGUGUGUAAACUCCUUUUAAGAGGGAAGAUAAUGACGGUACCUCUUGAAUAAGCACCGGCUAACUCCGUGCCAGCAGCCGCGGUAAUACGGAGGGUGCAAGCGUUACUCGGAAUCACUGGGCGUAAAGGGUGCGUAGGCUGACUUUUAAGUCAGGCGUGAAAUCCAAUGGCUUAACCAUUGAACUGCGCUUGAAACUGGGGGUCUAGAGUUCAGAAGGGACAGAUGGAAUUAGUGGUGUAGUGGUAAAAUCCGUAGAUAUCACUAGGAAUAACAAAAGCGAAGGCGAUCUGCUGGGAUGAUACUGACGCUGGGGCACGAAAGCGUGGGGAGCAAACA